CUUAACCCAAAUCAUACGAGUCUAUGCCCAUAACCACUACACAGGGUGCCUCUCCUCCAUGGCUGAAGUGUCGCUUUUACAGAUGCCGAAGGUACGAUGCAAAAAAGACUGGAGCCCAUCUUCUGGAUUGAGAGACUGGAGCCCAUCUUCUGGAUUGAGAGGUGCCAGACCAAGAGGGCUGGAGGCCCGGCUGGAGAGGGAAAGCAGGCAUUGCCCCUGAAGGUUCGCAGAGAAGCUAGGAUCUGACCUGGAAGAAAGGAGACAGCCACCUUCUCCAGAACCGCAUUAGCAGCAAUUUCCCGAGAUUCUCACUUUGUGAUCCCAGCUGGAGUGUACUGAUGCGAUCACAGCUCAC
rnacentral:lncRNA from 10 species